rnacentral:rRNA from 1 species
UACAGAGGUCCCAAGCGUUGUUCGGAUUCAUUGGGCGUAAAGGGUGCGUAGGUGGCGGGGUAAGUCGGAUGUGAAAUCUCGGGGCUCAACCUCGAAACUGCAUUCGAUACUGCCUUGCUAGAGUACUGGAGAGGAGAUCGGAAUUUACGGUGUAGCGGUGAAAUGCGUAGAUAUCGAGAGGAACACCGGUGGCGAAGGCGAGUCCCUGGACAACACCUGACACUGAGGCACGAAAGCUAGGGGAGCAAACAGG